rnacentral:misc_RNA from 1 species
UGUGGGAGCUGGCUUGCCUGCGAUGCAGGCGACUCGGUCUUUGAGCAAGACCGAGUUGAUGCUAUCGCAGGCAAGCCAGCUCCCACA